CCCUGUUUAGCAUAGAUAAAGACAUGUGUGUCAAACGGAUGAAAAAUGCUUUACGUUGCUAUGAUUUUUUAUUGGAAUGUCCCCAACUUGAGAAAAAAGAACCAAAGGAAAAUGUUCAUCGACAUGCAUUGCAGCUUUGUUAUUUUUUAGCAUCAAGAUCUGAUGAUCCAAACCGAGGUGUGGGGUGUACACUCUAUAGUCAGGAUGGAUAUUUUUUUGGAGCAGGGUAUAAUGGAUAUCCCAUUGGCAUAUUAUAUGCAAACUUGCCCUUUAAAGGGAGAAAAAAUCGAAGGAC
rnacentral:lncRNA from 14 species